CAGACCCCAGCCCUGGUCCUGGCCACCUGCUGCCUUUUUGCAACUUCAUCCUUCUCUCUGGCAACACUUUAUUUAAAAUGCACUUCAAAAAGCAACAGCCUCCCGGACUCACACUCCUUGACUUCAACAGCUCACAGGCUGCAACACAUCAUCCCGGAGUUACUAGCCAUCAUUUGUCAUUUUUAACUACAGCACAGUGGCCUAACCCUGGCAGAAGUCUG
rnacentral:lncRNA from 1 species